rnacentral:lncRNA from 1 species
CAUCAAUACCUAUCAAAACCAAGAAAAUGAAUAUCCUGCAUCACACUUGAUGCACACAAUCUCACAAUUUGAUGAGAUCCUAGGAUGAUGCUCUGGAACAGAUGGGAUAAUCCUUGCAGAAACGAAUCAAAAGACUCAAGCUUCUCAAGGUAUGUGGAUCGAAUGGUGACACAAGAGGCUGCGGAAAGGCUCCUUGAUACUCCUAGGCAAUAGAUCGGAUAUGACACACCAAACUAGAGCCCUUAGUCUCUGGAUAUUACACACCAGAAGUUGGAUAUUACACACCAACACUCAAUCAACUCGACAAGCAAGAAGAAAAGAGAAAACAAAGGUUUUUGAUAAAAAGAUGGAUACUGAUACAAGGGGGCCACGACCACAAUAUAAAGGAGAAGCCUUGUACAUGCACAAGGUCUCGAAAAUACAAGGAAAAUAAAGACAAAGCUCCCUUGGAAACACAACAAAGACUAGAGUUUUCGAAAAUAAAAACAUAGCAUAAAAACUUAGAUAAAAUUAUAUAACAUAAGGUCUUCAUGUGGACAGACCAAGAUCAAGCAUCUAGGAGGUAAGAGAAGUAACUUGUGGCCUCAUUAAAAACCUUGAUUGGAAAACCCAGUGGGACAAAACCAAUCAAGGGAAAAAAGAGUACACACAAGCUACUUGCCUAGAUGAUGAUCAGCUUGAGUGUAGAGUAGCUUGAAUGUAGAUCAAGUUGUCUCUGAUGAUAGAAGCUUUAUUUCGGCUCAAACAUUCUUCAAGUGUAGGUUCUUCAACAGCUACAAGCUCUCCAUGAUCAGGUUCAUGAUUCCAUUCCUUGGUGCUUUCCAUGAUCACAUCAUCCCCUCCCACUUCAAAAAGAUUUGUCCUCAAAUCUGUGUUACCUGCAAUAGAAGGGACCAAGUCAGUAACAUCAGAGUUUAUAAUCAGAUUACACUUACCUUGCAAGCCUCUUUGAUAGGCAUUGUCGCUGACUGGUUCUAUUAGGUAGAAGGGACUGAUCCAUUUGGGUAUCCUCACUCCUGAGGCAUUACUUAAACCUGAUACAUUGAAACAAGACAAGUUAACACAAGCAAAAUCAUCAUAGAGUAAGAGUCUUAUCCCAAAGUUGUCUUUUCUCGGUUUUGGCUUGUAUGUUGCAUCUGGAGGUGCUUCUUUGAUGAGGAUGAAGCAAGUGACGUCCUGAUGUCUCUCCUGGCUUAGAUCAGGCGGCUUGAAACGUUUGUCUUCCUCACGCUUGUUCUUUGUCUUUGCAUGCUUCAAAGCUUCCAUAUAAUCUGCACAUGACUCUUUUGACAAAAACAAGUGCAUCAUAUCUGUGUAAUCAAUAAAGGAACUCUUGAAAACAUGAUUGGUUACCUUAGCAUGCUCACCUGGUCGCCAUAUAUAGGAUUGAGAUGUUCUAUACUCAGAAAAAUUCAAACAAAGCAAACACAGAAUCACCCGUCUUGUAGAACCCAUAACUCUUUCAUUUGAGAAGCUUUGGACAUGAUUCCAGUUCGACGUGAGACCCUGAUGAGUGUAGUUUCCAUUGCAGUUGAGUUUGUUGCUUAAUUCCUUCUGGUUGCUGAGAUAUGAUCCUCGGACUGCUCCUAUGUCAAAGUUGGCGGCUAGACAGCUUCCAAGAUUUGAUUGUUGCAUCUCCAAUUUAGCCAAGGAUCCAUUCUUGAUACUCUGAUCAUUAUUAUAGCCUCUCUUUUCGAAAAUUCUAGUACUCAGAACUGUUUUAACUUUUAAUCUAGUGAAAUCUCCAUCUCCACUCUUGGUUUGACAAUCUCUGAAAUGGUAUUGAAGCUUUUGCAAAUCUGGUGGCUUCCACACCUUAACAUGAUCAAGAAGCAAGGCAUUUUGAUCAGCUUCCAACCCUUUAUUACCCCAACUGGUUCUACUACGAGCAGAGCACUCUCCAAGGAUGAUAAGUAUGCUGGAAUAUGCUCCAGUUUUCCACAAGUAGAACUGUAACCUUCCACCCCAAUCUGAUAUAAGCAGCUCACAGAAUUUGGCUAAACCGAUAUGUUUUGCGGAAUUGACAAUAUCUUGAUGAUCAGGAGGCCAUUUGCUGCGUUUUCUGGUUUGUUGGAUCCAGGAAAUAGUGGGUAACAUUCUCCAAUUGGUUUCGUAUUGAAACUCUUGCUGAGCUGAGACGUGAAUCCCUUUAGCUUCAGAGGGUAAAAGAUCACCAAAAACAAUUGUUGUUGCGGCCGAUUUCUUCUCAAUCACUAAGGGAUUGUUCCUGUGAUUCCACAACUCUCCUCCAGGCUCAAAUACAACAUGUUCCAUGCCCAGUUGGUGUCUUGAAAGCUCUACUGCUCUGGUCUUGUUCCACACAAAAGGACUGAUGAGAAAAGUACCCAAGAAUGUCCUUUGGAAACCGUUUGAAUCAGUGACAAAUAGAUGCUCUACUCCACUGUCUGAUUUUGAUUCCAUGGGUGCCUCCUCUUCUAUUACAUCCUGUUUGAAGAGAAUCAGGUCGUCCUUGAUGGGUUGAUCAUCUUUCUGAAUGGUGAUUGUUGGAAUCUCGGUUUGAUCUUCUUGAACUAGUGCAGCCAAGUCUGAUUGUGCAACUGAGUCUGGUUCUGCAUCUUUGAGUUCUGAGACAGUUGAGGAAGGCGCUUGGUUCUGUACUUUUAAGGAUGGAGAUAUAGUCUUGGACUGUUUAAGUUGUUUCUCCACAUCCCUAAACGCUUGUGAAAUUGCCUUCCUUAUGCUAUCUUCAAAGGAAUGGGUUGAUGUUUUGCUUGAUGAAACCAGGUUACUAGAUGGACUUGAUCUCUUGCUGUCUGGUUGUUUCUGCACUGAUAAUGAAGAACAUAGCUUUGUCUCAGGCUGCUUUUGAAUAACUUCCUUGUGGUACUGUCUUGGAACGUACUCUCUACGCAUCAAAGCCCUCAGCUUAAGCCAUGUUUCCACUGGUUCUUUUCCAUCAAGUCUUCUGCACUUUAUCAACUGAUUCCACCAUCUUAAAGCAUGACCACAAAACUCAGCAGUAGCCAUUUGAAUCUUCUUUCUUUCAGCAUAGUGUUGACUACUGAAAAUCAACUCAAUCUUCUUUUCCCACUUCACAUAAGCUUCAGGAUCCGCCUUGCCUUGGAAUGGAGGGAUUUGAAAUUCAUAUCCAGCAUGCUUCCGGUUCCUGCUAAACUGAUCAAACUCUUUUUGCCUGUACUCAUCUCUGGUUGAUUUUGAGCAUUCUCUAUUUUUCUUUGGCUGAUGUUUUCCUUUGUGCUCCUUCUCCAUUGGUACCUGAGACACAAAUAAAACAGAAACCAGUAACUAGUUCUAAGAGAAACAACACUCAGAAUUAAUAACAGAUCAAUUUUAAAACGACAAGCAAAUCAAAUAAAACAGUUUGAUAAUCAGAACAAUUCACCAACGCAAUAUGAUCGAUCAAUCUUAAACAGAGACAGAUUAAAUUCGAAAUCUAAUUAACCAAACAAGAUAGAUUAUAUUCAAAGCAAUAAGAACAGAUAGGAAUCACACAAAUCCAAAACAGAAACAGAUCAAGCAAAUCGAUUACUUCUGCAACAUGAAUGUGAAAAGUUUUUAUCAGAAAUGAGAUCAACAAGCUUGAAUCUAUUAAAACUCAACAACACAAUCAUAGAUCAAUCAAAACUAGUGAGAAUAAGAAUAGAUCGACAGGUUUUUAGCAAACACAAACGGAUUUAUCAGAUUUAAACACUAAGAACACAGAUCAGAUCAAACUCGACAGAAUAUGAACAGACCCAAACGAAAAUCAGAGAGAAAAAUCGAACACUUCCCUUCCAGAGUUGCUCUGAUACCACUUGAUGAGAUCCUAGGAUGAUGCUCUGGAACAGAUGGGAUAAUCCUUGCAGAAACGAAUCAAAAGACUCAAGCUUCUCAAGGUAUGUGGAUCGAAUGGUGACACAAGAGGCUGCGGAAAGGCUCCUUGAUACUCCUAGGCAAUAGAUCGGAUAUGACACACCAAACUAGAGCCCUUAGUCUCUGGAUAUUACACACCAGAAGUUGGAUAUUACACACCAACACUCAAUCAACUCGACAAGCAAGAAGAAAAGAGAAAACAAAGGUUUUAGAUAAAAAGAUGGAUACUGAUACAAGGGGGCCACGACCACAAUAUAAAGGAGAAGCCUUGUACAUGCACAAGGUCUCGAAAAUACAAGGAAAAUAAAGACAAGGCUCCCUUGGAAACACAACAAAGACUAGAGUUUUCGAAAAUAAAAACAUAGCAUAAAAACUUAGAUAAAAUUAUAUAACAUAAGGUCUUCAUGUGGACAGACCAAGAUCAAGCAUCUAGGAGGUAAGAGAAGUAACUUGUGGCCUCAUUAAAAACCUUGAUUGGAAAACCCAGUGGGACAAAACCAAUCAAGGGAAAAAAGAGUACACACAAGCUACUUGCCUAGAUGAUGAUCAGCUUGAGUGUAGAGUAGCUUGAAUGUAGAUCAAGUUGUCUCUGAUGAUAGAAGCUUUAUUUCGGCUCAAACAUUCUUCAAGUGUAGGUUCUUCAACAGCUACAAGCUCUCCAUGAUCAGGUUCAUGAUUCCAUUCCUUGGUGCUUUCCAUGAUCACAUCAUCCCCUCCCACUUCAAAAAGAUUUGUCCUCAAAUCUGUGUUACCUGCAAUAGAAGGGACCAAGUCAGUAACAUCAGAGUUUAUAAUCAGAUUACACUUACCUUGCAAGCCUCUUUGAUAGGCAUUGUCGCUGACUGGUUCUAUUAGGUAGAAGGGACUGAUCCAUUUGGGUAUCCUCACUCCUGAGGCAUUACUUAAACCUGAUACAUUGAAACAAGACAAGUUAACACAAGCAAAAUCAUCAUAGAGUAAGAGUCUUAUCCCAAAGUUGUCUUUUCUCGGUUUUGGCUUGUAUGUUGCAUCUGGAGGUGCUUCUUUGAUGAGGAUGAAGCAAGUGACGUCCUGAUGUCUCUCCUGGCUUAGAUCAGGCGGCUUGAAACGUUUGUCUUCCUCACGCUUGUUCUUUGUCUUUGCAUGCUUCAAAGCUUCCAUAUAAUCUGCACAUGACUCUUUUGACAAAAAACAAGUGCAUCAUAUCUGUGUAAUCAAUAAAGGAACUCUUGAAAACAUGAUUGGUUACCUUAGCAUGCUCACCUGGUCGCCAUAUAUAGGAUUGAGAUGUUCUAUACUCAGAAAAAUUCAAACAAAGCAAACACAGAAUCACCCGUCUUGUAGAACCCAUAACUCUUUCAUUUGAGAAGCUUUGGACAUGAUUCCAGUUCGACGUGAGACCCUGAUGAGUGUAGUUUCCAUUGCAGUUGAGUUUGUUGCUUAAUUCCUUCUGGUUGCUGAGAUAUGAUCCUCGGACUGCUCCUAUGUCAAAGUUGGCGGCUAGACAGCUUCCAAGAUUUGAUUGUUGCAUCUCCAAUUUAGCCAAGGAUCCAUUCUUGAUACUCUGAUCAUUAUUAUAGCCUCUCUUUUCGAAAAUUCUAGUACUCAGAACUGUUUUACCUUUUAAUCUAGUGAAAUCUCCAUCUCCACUCUUGGUUUGACAAUCUCUGAAAUGGUAUUGAAGCUUUUGCAAAUCUGGUGGCUUCCACACCUUAACAUGAUCAAGAAGCAAGGCAUUUUGAUCAGCUUCCAACUCUUUAUUACCCCAACUGGUUCUACUACGAGCAGAGCACUCUCCAAGGAUGAUAAGUAUGCUGGAAUAUGCUCCAGUUUUCCACAAGUAGAACUGUAACCUUCCACCCCAAUCUGAUAUAAGCAGCUCACAGAAUUUGGCUAAACCGAUAUGUUUUGCGGAAUUGACAAUAUCUUGAUGAUCAGGAGGCCAUUUGCUGCGUUUUCUGGUUUGUUGGAUCCAGGAAAUAGUGGGUAACAUUCUCCAAUUGGUUUCGUAGUGAAACUCUUGCUGAGCUGAGACGUGCAUCCCUUUAGCUUCAGAGGGUAAAAGAUCACCAAAAACAAUUGUUGUUGCGGCCGAUUUCUUCUCAAUCACUAAGGGAUUGUUCCUGUGAUUCCACAACUCUCCUCCAGGCUCAAAUACAACAUGUUCCAUGCCCAGUUGGUGUCUUGAAAGCUCUACUGCUCUGGUCUUGUUCCACACAAAAGGACUGAUGAGAAAAGUACCCAAGAAUGUCCUUUGGAAACCGUUUGAAUCAGUGACAAAUAGAUGCUCUACUCCACUGUCUGAUUUUGAUUCCAUGGGUGCCUCCUCUUCUAUUACAUCCUGUUUGAAGAGAAUCAGGUCGUCCUUGAUGGGUUGAUCAUCUUUCUGAAUGGUGAUUGUUGGAAUCUCGGUUUGAUCUUCUUGAACUAGUGCAGCCAAGUCUGAUUGUGCAACUGAGUCUGGUUCUGCAUCUUUGAGUUCUGAGACAGUUGAGGAAGGCGCUUGGUUCUGUACUUUUAAGGAUGGAGAUAUAGUCUUGGACUGUUUAAGUUGUUUCUCCACAUCCCUAAACGCUUGUGAAAUUGCCUUCCUUAUGCUAUCUUCAAAGGAAUGGGUUGAUGUUUUGCUUGAUGAAACCAGGUUACUAGAUGGACUUGAUCUCUUGCUGUCUGGUUGUUUCUGCACUGAUAAUGAAGAACAUAGCUUUGUCUCAGGCUGCUUUUGAAUAACUUCCUUGUGGUACUGUCUUGGAACGUACUCUCUACGCAUCAAAGCCCUCAGCUUAAGCCAUGUUUCCACUGGUUCUUUUCCAUCAAGUCUUCUGCACUUUAUCAACUGAUUCCACCAUCUUAAAGCAUGACCACAAAACUCAGCAGUAGCCAUUUGAAUCUUCUUUCUUUCAGCAUAGUGUUGACUACUGAAAAUCAACUCAAUCUUCUUUUCCCACUUCACAUAAGCUUCAGGAUCCGCCUUGCCUUGGAAUGGAGGGAUUUGAAAUUCAUAUCCAGCAUGCUUCCGGUUCCUGCUAAACUGAUCAAACUCUUUUUGCCUGUACUCAUCUCUGGUUGAUUUUGAGCAUUCUCUAUUUUUCUUUGGCUGAUGUUUUCCUUUGUGCUCCUUCUCCAUUGGUACCUGAGACACAAAUAAAACAGAAACCAGUAACUAGUUCUAAGAGAAACAACACUCAGAAUUAAUAACAGAUCAAUUUUAAAACGACAAGCAAAUCAAAUAAAACAGUUUGAUAAUCAGAACAAUUCACCAACGCAAUAUGAUCGAUCAAUCUUAAACAGAGACAGAUUAAAUUCGAAAUCUAAUUAACCAAACAAGAUAGAUUAUAUUCAAAGCAAUAAGAACAGAUAGGAAUCACACAAAUCCAAAACAGAAACAGAUCAAGCAAAUCGAUUACUUCUGCAACAUGAAUGUGAAAAGUUUUUAUCAGAAAUGAGAUCAACAAGCUUGAAUCUAUUAAAACUCAACAACACAAUCAUAGAUCAAUCAAAACUAGUGAGAAUAAGAAUAGAUCGACAGGUUUUUAGCAAACACAAACGGAUUUAUCAGAUUUAAACACUAAGAACACAGAUCAGAUCAAACUCGACAGAAUAUGAACAGACCCAAACGAAAAUCAGAGAGAAAAAUCGAACACUUCCCUUCCAGAGUUGCUCUGAUACCACUUGAUGAGAUCCUAGGAUGAUGCUCUGGAACAGAUGGGAUAAUCCUUGCAGAAACGAAUCAAAAGACUCAAGCUUCUCAAGGUAUGUGGAUCGAAUGGUGACACAAGAGGCUGCGGAAAGGCUCCUUGAUACUCCUAGGCAAUAGAUCGGAUAUGACACACCAAACUAGAGCCCUUAGUCUCUGGAUAUUACACACCAGAAGUUGGAUAUUACACACCAACACUCAAUCAACUCGACAAGCAAGAAGAAAAGAGAAAACAAAGGUUUUUGAUAAAAAGAUGGAUACUGAUACAAGGGGGCCACGACCACAAUAUAAAGGAGAAGCCUUGUACAUGCACAAGGUCUCGAAAAUACAAGGAAAAUAAAGACAAGGCUCCCUUGGAAACACAACAAAGACUAGAGUUUUUGAAAAUAAAAACAUAGCAUAAAAACUUAGAUAAAAUUAUAUAACAUAAGGUCUUCAUGUGGACAGACCAAGAUCAAGCAUCUAGGAGGUAAGAGAAGUAACUUGUGGCCUCAUUAAAAACCUUGAUUGGAAAACCCAGUGGGACAAAACCAAUCAAGGGAAAAAAGAGUACACACAAGCUACUUGCCUAGAUGAUGAUCAGCUUGAGUGUAGAGUAGCUUGAAUGUAGAUCAAGUUGUCUCUGAUGAUAGAAGCUUUAUUUCGGCUCAAACAUUCUUCAAGUGUAGGUUCUUCAACAGCUACAAGCUCUCCAUGAUCAGGUUCAUGAUUCCAUUCCUUGGUGCUUUCCAUGAUCACAUCACAAUUCAAUCAUAAUCAUUUUAAGUAUCUUGUCAAGCACAAGCAAUGAAUAAGAUGAAAGAAAAGGUUUUAAAAGUCUAAGGGAACUUCCCUUGUGUUUUUUUUUUGUGAGUUUCCUAACUCGGCCAAUGCACCAUCUUCAUGGCAUCACCAACUUCUUGGAAAGGCAGAAUGGAUUCUUGGAUUCAUCAGCUUCUCCUCAAUCACCUCUCAUUGAAGCCGCAUUGAUGGAAAGCCUUCUUCCUCACUCGCCAAGACUGCUCUGAACAGCCUCUUGCCUAGACACGCCACUAUCUUGGUCCGGUUGAUGAUCCUUGUAGAAGCCUUUUGCAAAGACUUGUUACUGACCAUGGAUCAUAUGCAUUAAGACUCCCCCUCAAGCUUAGAACCAAGACUAGAAGGAGCUAAGCUUGUGAUGAUCCUAUGCAUCUCCAUGGUCUAAUAACUAUCAUCUUUUAUGAUAGCUUUCUUCUUGUGAGUUUUCUCUCUUCCUUAACCAGGAAUUAGGGUGUUUGAAUCACCAUAGAGAGUCUCACAAGACACAUCUCUCAUUGCAUAAUGACCCAUGCUACACUUCCUGUAGACUAAGGACUAGAUAUGUCCAAUGGUAUUAUGCAAUGGCCAUCUCUCAUUGCAUAAUCAAUCACACUACACUUCCUGUAGAUUAUGGACUAACAUGUCCAAGUGAUGAUAUGUAAUGGCACAAGACCUUUGUCUCUACAUUCUUGGUUGAUGGCGAGUUACAUGUAUCACUUCCCUUGUGUACCUAACACCACCACAACUCAAUGCAAGAUCAGAUCAUCCCAUUGGAAUCAAACCAAGAUCAUCCAUCAUGUUUGAUCACCAAUGCCACAAUAAUAUAUGAUACUUGAAACAAGCUAGACAAUCAAGACAAGAAUAUGCAAAGACAAUGUAUGCUUUCAACAAUAUACUGAUCUCAAUGUAUGCUUUCAAUUCAGUUUAUUUUUUAAAUGCAACAAUAGAUGAAUGCAUUAGGUUACACACUAACUAUAUGAAUGAAACAGAUUCAAUCCAAAUGAACACAAGACUAGAUGAUUCUUUAUGCAAUCAAGGCAACAAGCGUGACUCAAUUCAUGCUUAUGCUUACUAGAUUUAUUAAGGCCAAUGAUUCAAGUAGCUUAGACAUACUUCUAAAUCCUACAAGACAUUAGAUGCUAACAAGCAGAUUUUAAUUUCUCUAAAUGCAAUGCAAGCUUACAUCAGUACAUUUGCAAUGUAGGCUCAUUUUUUAAAUGCAUUACUACAUGAAUGCACAAUCUUAAAGCAUUAGCUAUAUGAAUGCAACAGGUUCAAUCCAUGAGUAAUAUUUAAAGCUCUGCACAACAGUUUCAAUCAGAACCAAUGAUGCAAGCACCUUAGACAAUUUCUAAUUGAUGCAAGACUUUCAUUGAUGGAUUAGACAUAGGCAAUAGCAUCAGAUAACACUAGGAUUGAACUUAGACAGUAUGAGAUAUGCUUAUGUAUGCAGAAUAACUUAUCAAUCAUGAUGCAAGCAGUAGAGACAUUCUACUCAAUUCUACAACACAUUCAUGAUGAUUCAAGCUAUGACAACACCCAAGACAAUGCAAUAAACAGAACAUGAGAUUCUGGGACUCUAGAUAUUACUUACUAUCAAU